AUGAUGAUGUCACUGAUUCUACUGCUGGCCACCCUGGGGCUCCUUGUUCAGGGUUCAUCAGGACAAAACGUCCUGACUCAGUCUCCUGGAUCUCAGUCUGCUGUUCCAGGACAGGUUGUCUCUCUCAAAAGUAAAGCCACUAGUAGUACUAGCUUCCUGCACUGGUACCUUCAGAAACCUGGAGAAGCUCCUAAACUCCUGAUUUAUCAAAUUACAAACCGUCAGUCUGGAGUUCCAGAUCGUUUUAGUGGAAGUGGAUCUGGGACUGACUUCACUCUGACCAUCAGUGGAGUUCAGGCUGAAGAUUCAGGAGCUUACUACUGUCAGCAGGGUUGCAGCCUCCCGUUCACACAGUGAUACAACGUCGUACAAAAACCUCCCUCAGCUGGAGAGGAACUGAUCUGACUCAACAGCUGCACUGAAACUAAACAUUUGAAACUUCUUCAUGAGACAUGAUCACACUUCUACAGUUUACUUAAACUCCAAUUUAAAGCAAAGUUUCAAUCAGGAAAAAAACUGUUUUAUAAGGACAUGACACAAAAACACUAAAUCUUUUAUUCUGGAGAAAAUGUUUCAUCUUUGACUGAUUUGUUAAAGCUACCUGUUUUUUCAAUCUCACUGAGAAUACUGCAUUAGUCAAGAAGAAAUCAACAAUUCUAAAGCAGAAACUUGAAACUGAAGGAUACAUAGUUGGAAACAUACUGAGUCUUUGAACACAUUCAAGAAAUACCAAAAAAUCUGCAUGUAAAACACUUUGAAAUAUUCAUGUACUCUUUAACCCAAAACAUUUGACAUUAUUGAUGAAGCUAAGAAAUACAGUAUCCACUUUAUUAGGUACAGCUGUAUUACA